GACAGAGGGUGCAAACGUUGUUCGGAAUUACUGGGCGUAAAGGGCGCGUAGGCGGCCCGCUAAGUCGAACGUGAAAUCCCCGAGCUCAACCCGGGAACUGCGUCCGAUACUGACAGGCUUGAAUCCGGGAGAGGGAUGUGGAAUUCCAGGUGUAGCGGUGAAAUGCGUAGAUAUCUGGAGGAACACCGGUGGCGAAGGCGGCAUCCUGGACCGGCAUUGACGCUGAGGCGCGAAAGCCAGGGGAGCAAACGGG
rnacentral:rRNA from 1 species